rnacentral:rRNA from 1 species
UUGGGAAUCUUGGACAAUGGGCGAAAGCCUGAUCCAGCCAUGCCGCGUGAGUGAAGAAGGCCCUAGGGUUGUAAAGCUCUUUCAGCGGGGAAGAUAAUGACGGUACCCGCAGAAGAAGCCCCGGCUAACUUCGUGCCAGCAGCCGCGGUAAUACGAAGGGGGCUAGCGUUGUUCGGAAUUACUGGGCGUAAAGCGCGCGUAGGCGGAUUGUUAAGUCAGGGGUGAAAUCCCGAGGCUCAACCUCGGAACUGCCUCUGAUACUGCCAAUCUGGAGUCCGGAAGAGGUUGGUGGAAUUCCGAGUGUAGAGGUGAAAUUCGUAGAUAUUCGGAGGAACACCAGAGGCGAAGGCGGCCAACUGGUCCGAGACUGACGCUGAGGCGCGAAAGCGUGGGGAGCAAACAGGAUUAGAUACCCCCGUAGUCC